AUACGGAGGGUGCAAGCGUUGUUCGGAAUUACUGGGCGUAAAGCGCGUGUAGGCGGCCUUGCAAGUCAGAUGUGAAAGCCCUCGGCUUAACCGGGGAAGUGCAUCUGAAACUGCUUGGCUUGAGUACGGGAGAGGGAGGCGGAAUUCCCAGUGUAGAGGUGAAAUUCGUAGAUAUUGGGAGGAACACCGGUGGCGAAAGCGGCCUCCUGGACCGAUACUGACGCUGAGACGCGAGAGCGUGGGGAGCAAACAGGAUUAGAUACCCUGGUAGUCCACGCUGUAAACGAUGGGCACUAGGUGUGGGGGGUAUCCACUCCUCCCGUGCCGAAGCUAACGCAUUAGGUGCCCCGCCUGGGGAGUACGGCCGCAAGGUUAAA
rnacentral:rRNA from 1 species